UGCNGAAAANGGCUUAGAGUUUGAUCAUGGCUCAGGAUGAACGCUGGCGGCGUGCCUAACACAUGCAAGUCGAACGAAGCGGUUUUGCGGAAGUUUUCGGAUGGAAGUAGAAUUGACUGAGUGGCGGACGGGUGAGUAACGCGUGGAUAACCUGCCUCAUACAGGGGGAUAACAGUUAGAAAUGACUGCUAAUACCGCAUAAGCGCACGGGAACGCAUGUUCCUGUGUGAAAAGCCGAGACGGUAUGAGAUGGAUCCGCGUCUGAUUAGCUAGUUGGUGAGGUAACGGCCCACCAAGGCGUCGAUCAUUAGCCGACCUGAGAGGGUGACCGGCCACAUUGGGACUGAGACACGGCCCAAACUCCUACGGGAGGCAGCAGUGGGGAAUAUUGCACAAUGGGGGAAACCCUGAUGCAGCGACGCCGCGUGAGAGAAGAAGUAUUUCGGUAUGUAAAGCUCUAUUAGCAGGGAAGAGAAUGACGGUACCUGACUAAGAAGCCCCGGCUAACUACGUGCCAGCAGCCGCGGUAAUACGUAGGGGGCAAGCGUUAUCCGGAUUUACUGGGUGUAAAGGGAGCGUAGACGGCAUAGCAAGUCUGAAGUGAAAUACCCGGGCUCAACCCGGGAGCUGCUUUGGAAACUGUUAGGCUGGAGUGCUGGAGAGGCAAGCG
rnacentral:rRNA from 1 species